ACUAAGCGUACACGGUGGAUGCCCUGGCAGUCAGAGGCGAUGAAGGGCGUGCUAAUCUGCGAUAAGCGCCGGUAAGGUGAUAUGAACCGUUAUAACCGGCGAUACCCGAAUGGGGAAACCCAGUGUGAUUCGUCACACUAUCAUUAACUGAAUCCAUAGGUUAAUGAGGCGAACCGGGGGAACUGAAACAUCUAAGUACCCCGAGGAAAAGAAAUCAACCGAGAUUCCCCCAGUAGCGGCGAGCGAACGGGGAGGAGCCCAGAGCCUGAAUCAGCAUGUGUGUUAGUGGAAGCGUCUGGAAAGGCGCGCGAUACAGGGUGACAGCCCCGUACACAAAAGCGCAUGUGCUGUGAGCUCGAUGAGUAGGGCGGGACACGUGGUAUCCUGUCUGAAUAUGGGGGGACCAUCCUCCAAGGCUAAAUACUCCUGACUGACCGAUAGUGAACCAGUACCGUGAGGGAAAGGCGAAAAGAACCCCGGCGAGGGGAGUGAAAAAGAACCUGAAACCGUGUACGUACAAGCAGUGGGAGCACCCUUCGGGGUGUGACUGCGUACCUUUUGUAUAAUGGGUCAGCGACUUAUAUUCUGUAGCAAGGUUAACCGUAUAGGGGAGCCGGAGGGAAACCGAGUCUUAAUUGGGCGUUAAGUUGCAGGGUAUAGACCCGAAACCCGGUGAUCUAGCCAUGGGCAGGUUGAAGGUUGGGUAACACUAACUGGAGGACCGAACCGACUAAUGUUGAAAAAUUAGCGGAUGACCUGUGGCUGGGGGUGAAAGGCCAAUCAAACCGGGAGAUAGCUGGUUCUCCCCGAAAGCUAUUUAGGUAGCGCCUCGUGAAUUCAUCUCCGGGGGUAGAGCACUGUUUCGGCUAGGGGGCCAUCCCGGCUUACCAACCCGAUGCAAACUGCGAAUACCGGAGAAUGUUAUCACGGGAGACACACGGCGGGUGCUAACGUCCGUCGUGAAGAGGGAAACAACCCAGACCGCCAGCUAAGGUCCCAAAGUCAUGGUUAAGUGGGAAACGAUGUGGGAAGGCCCAGACAGCCAGGAUGUUGGCUUAGAAGCAGCCAUCAUUUAAAGAAAGCGUAAUAGCUCACUGGUCGAGUCGGCCUGCGCGGAAGAUGUAACGGGGCUAAACCAUGCACCGAAGCUGCGGCAGCGAACGUAUCACCCAAGACAACUUUACGGAGUUGACGAUUGACGGAGCGAAGCGACGUCAAAGCGUUCAUUAAAGUCGAGUUGGCUUAGGGAUACGUUCGUUGGGUAGGGGAGCGUUCUGUAAGCCUGUGAAGGUGUGUCGUGAGGCAUGCUGGAGGUAUCAGAAGUGCGAAUGCUGACAUAAGUAACGAUAAAGCGGGUGAAAAGCCCGCUCGCCGGAAGACCAAGGGUUCCUGUCCAACGUUAAUCGGGGCAGGGUGAGUCGACCCCUAAGGCGAGGCCGAAAGGCGUAGUCGAUGGGAAACGGGUUAAUAUUCCCGUACUUGGUGUUACUGCGAAGGGGGGACGGAGAAGGCUAUGUUGGCCGGGCGACGGUUGUCCCGGUUUAAGCGUGUAGGUGUGUGUUCCAGGUAAAUCCGGUUCACUUUAACACUGAGGCGUGACGACGAGGCACUACGGUGCUGAAGCAACAAAUGCCCUGCUUCCAGGAAAAGCCUCUAAGCAUCAGGUAACACGAAAUCGUACCCCAAACCGACACAGGUGGUCAGGUAGAGAAUACCAAGGCGCUUGAGAGAACUCGGGUGAAGGAACUAGGCAAAAUGGUGCCGUAACUUCGGGAGAAGGCACGCUGACACGUAGGUGAAGUGAUUUACUCAUGGAGCUGAAGUCAGUCGAAGAUACCAGCUGGCUGCAACUGUUUAUUAAAAACACAGCACUGUGCAAACACGAAAGUGGACGUAUACGGUGUGACGCCUGCCCGGUGCCGGAAGGUUAAUUGAUGGGGUCAGCGUAAGCGAAGCUCCUGAUCGAAGCCCCGGUAAACGGCGGCCGUAACUAUAACGGUCCUAAGGUAGCGAAAUUCCUUGUCGGGUAAGUUCCGACCUGCACGAAUGGCGUAAUGAUGGCCAGGCUGUCUCCACCCGAGACUCAGUGAAAUUGAACUCGCUGUGAAGAUGCAGUGUACCCGCGGCAAGACGGAAAGACCCCGUGAACCUUUACUAUAGCUUGACACUGAACAUUGAGCCUUGAUGUGUAGGAUAGGUGGGAGGCUUUGAAGUGUGGACGCCAGUCUGCAUGGAGCCGACCUUGAAAUACCACCCUUUAAUGUUUGAUGUUCUAACGUGGACCCGUAAUCCGGGUUGCGGACAGUGUCUGGUGGGUAGUUUGACUGGGGCGGUCUCCUCCUAAAGAGUAACGGAGGAGCACGAAGGUUGGCUAAUCCUGGUCGGACAUCAGGAGGUUAGUGCAAUGGCAUAAGCCAGCUUGACUGCGAGCGUGACGGCGCGAGCAGGUGCGAAAGCAGGUCAUAGUGAUCCGGUGGUUCUGAAUGGAAGGGCCAUCGCUCAACGGAUAAAAGGUACUCCGGGGAUAACAGGCUGAUACCGCCCAAGAGUUCAUAUCGACGGCGGUGUUUGGCACCUCGAUGUCGGCUCAUCACAUCCUGGGGCUGAAGUAGGUCCCAAGGGUAUGGCUGUUCGCCAUUUAAAGUGGUACGCGAGCUGGGUUUAGAACGUCGUGAGACAGUUCGGUCCCUAUCUGCCGUGGGCGCUGGAGAACUGAGGGGGGCUGCUCCUAGUACGAGAGGACCGGAGUGGACGCAUCACUGGUGUUCGGGUUGUCAUGCCAAUGGCACUGCCCGGUAGCUAAAUGCGGAAGAGAUAAGUGCUGAAAGCAUCUAAGCACGAAACUUGCCCCGAGAUGAGUUCUCCCUGAGACUUAGAGUCUCCUGAAGGAACGUUGAAGACGACGACGUUGAUAGGCCGGGUGUGUAAGCGCAGCGAUGCGUUGAGCUAACCGGUACUAAUGAACCGUGAGGCUUAACC
rnacentral:rRNA from 1 species